rnacentral:lncRNA from 1 species
AAUAAAUUAUGGAAAAAAAUAUCCUUUAUACAUAUCAAAUAACACACUGGGUAUUUAUGACAUAAUUCAACACUUCUGUAACUACUUUCAAUUUGUUUUAUGAUUUUUUAUUUUGUUUUAUGAUUUAUUUUAUGAUUUUUUAUUUUGUUUUAGGAUUUUGGAUUUAAAAAACAGACCUGCUAUAGAGGUUAUCCCAAAUGUUCUGAGGCAGCAUCAAAACUAAGUCUUCAAUAUAACUCGCUUUUCGUGGAGGAAUACCUAAAAAAUAUUUACAUGACUUUCAAAGGCGGUGCUUAAAAUUAAAGAGCUUACUCAAAAUAGGCAAGUAUUCUCUCACACAUAAAGUCAUUUUUAAUGGUAAAUGGCCAAUCCUCCACACACCCUCCCCGCUCCUCCCCACAGUCCUGCGGAGACAGGGGUCUUACUCCGUAGUUUAGGCUGGCCUCCAACUCAUAGCAGUUUUCCUACCUCAGGCCCUCAAACACUGGGGUUACAGAAUUAUACAUACAAUCAUAUCUGUCUUUCAAUCAAUGUGCUUAAAUCUCUCAAAAAAAAAAAAAAAGUAAGUGAAAAGAAUUUUUAGUGACUGUGUUUCCUAAAUGUAUGAGCAUACGUUUUGAAGUACACAUCCAGUAUUUUUAUUUGUGUGUUUAUUUGGUAGCACUAGGGUUUGAAUCUAGCAUCUUAUACAAACUAACCAUUCCAUCAAUCUCUGAUCGCUCAGAAUAUUCAGAAGUAUAUAACGUUAGGUUUCUAUAUACAAUACAGGGUAUCUCCAGGCCCAGUAGCUUUACUACAUAAUUAACACUAGCAAGUCACCAACCAUAAGGACAGCCAAACACAAGCCCACACAAGACUACUUAUUACUCCAGGACAGACAGUGAAGUGUGAGGCACAGUUCACAAAUCCUAAAUAUGCUUCCAUACUUUUAAAAGUCAGCUCUUCAUGAAGGAACUACAGAUAAAGAUGUCAGCUAAACCCAGCACACAGGAAUGGCUCUCACCAAGGAAAGUGUAUGUAGAAAGCUCACCCAACUGUAAUUAGCCAUCCAUGUGACUGACUAACGUAAAAUCAAUGCUCUCCCGACACUGAAAUAGUCUUUGGUAUUCUUUAGCUCCAGAACUGGGUUUCACACAAGGCCAAUUUCUAAAAUCAUAAGGAAUUAAACACACUCAGCUCUAGAUGGGGAUGGACAAUAAUCAGGAGAGGAGACUCUUGAUUCUUUCCUAAUUGCAAAUUAAACAGCAACUUAGUAUCACUAUUUUACCUAACAGUAUUUCUUACCUCCAUGGAUACAGAGAAAAUCAUUAUUUGAAAUAGGGCCAGGUUCAGCAAAGGUCUUAAAUUUAUUCAACCACUGUCGAGAUAUGUAGAACUGAAGGAGGCUAGGUUCCAUGAUGUUCAACAAAUUUGAUAUCCUCCGCCUCUCCUUUUGUGCCUCUUCACUGCUCUUCCUAUUGAGGACAACGCUUCAUUAACUUUAAUGCACAUUUUAUUACAAUAAACUAACAGCAUGAGUCUUCUCUUCAUUAUUCGUUUUAUCACAUACUGUAACUGUGGACCUUAUCAGCCCUAAGGAAUUCCAAAAGAAACUCUCUGUCCUUCUGCUCAACCAUUAUGCAUUACCCUAGGAGUCCCGCUGGAUCCUACCCGUGAGUACCACAUAACUACUGUACAAUGUCGGCAUCCGAUAUCAGGAAGAUCAAGUCACUACGCUGCAUUCUUGGUUCCUGUUCUAGUAUUUAGCAUUUUCUUAAAAUACUGAAAAGUAUCAAAGAUUUUUAUAGCAUACUUAAUUUAUUAUUGAAUAUUUUAGGGAAGAAAUGUGGUAAUUAAUUCCAACUUUGUCUACUUUUUUUUCUUUUUAAGUAAAAACUAAUCCUGGGCCAGUGAGAUGCUCAUUAUGAAGGGUGCUUGUCACCAAAUUGGAGGACCUGAGUUCAAUUCCCAGAACCCACUUGGUAGAAGGAGAGAACCAACUCCCAAAAGUUGUUCUUUGAACAAAUGAACUUUGGUGCAUGAAGGCAGGCAAAUACAUGCAUAUACACAUACACACAUACAUACAUGUUAAAGAAAGAAAUGAGGGCUGGAGAGAUGGCUCAGCAGUUAAGAAUACUUACUGUUCUUUGGAGGAACUGGGUUAGAUUCCCAGAACCUACAUGGUGCCUCACAACUAUCCAUAACUCCAGUUCCAGGAGAUCUGAUGCCCUCUUCUGACCUCCUCUGACACCAAGCACACAUGUGGUGCACACACAUACAUACAUGUAAAAUACCCAUACAUAUAAAAUAAAUAAAAAUUUAAAAAUAAGUAC